UUAGGAGUGAUGUGCUGAGGAAUGGGCACAGAGGAGGGGGGGGUCCCUUUUCCUGAAAUCUAAAUUUGAAAUUAAUUUAUUGCAAGUGUAGAAGACACUAAGGGUUCAAGCUCUCCACCCUGCCCGUAGGACAACAUGGAAAACAGGUCGAAGAAACUGCAAGAUGCUGAAGACCAGCACAUUUUAAACAGGAAAUUCCCAGCGCACACUCUGUGCAAAUGAAACCCAGGCUCCUUUCCGUUGUUCGGCAGCCCCGGGAGAACACGUUACCUUUCAAUCUCGCACUCUAAUGUGUUUAGAGUUAAAAUCCCCCCGCCCCAGGCGAGCAAAGGAAGGAUCCCAGAGCCUUGAUUAAAGCACGGCUUCCUGAGCAAGGAUGUGCAUGUGGAGCUGCUGGGCUUGCAGUGUGCCCUGCCCAGCCAGAUGAGCCCAUGAGCACCAAGAGAUGCCACGACGUUCCAGUUUUCUGGUGGUGUCCUCAACACGUGAUUUUGGAGAAGAAAAGCACCCACAGCCAUCACCCAGGGACCAGCUGCCCAUCACCACAGCGCUGGCAAACGUCCACUUUGGGAGGAUAAGGAGCAUUUCUGGCUGCAGCAGCAGCAUAAAACACCACAAACUGCUGCUUGCAGGCUUCUCCCAUCGCUGCUCGCAGCAUCUGUGGAAGGGAAAACUUCCCAGCGUAACAUCCACAACCUCUUAAGUAAAUAGUCUUUAAUGUUGCACUAAAGGGUUGUA